CUUUUACUUUUAUUAUGCACCAAGUCUGCGUCCGCAAAGAAUGAUGGGGUUUUGUUACGACAUAAUGACGCAUUUGCACAUGUGAUAUUGUAUAGUUCGCAAUCUCUUACUUCGUCAUGAUCAUUCUCGUUGAACAGAAAUUAUGCUCGUUAUUGACUUUAAUGCAUGGCUAUAAGCACGUGAAUCAUGAGCGCCGACGACGACGUUGAUAACGUUGAUCAACAAGAAUUGGACAGUGUUUUAUGUACUGAAGAAGUUGCAACAGAUUGUUGAAAUUCAUAUCCCGUUGGAAUCCUACAGUGGCAGUACGGCCCUACGAACGAACGAUUUGUCUCUGAAUCGAGAGAGUAAAUAUCAAUAUACUGUCCAGUUGAAGAGCUAAAAAUCCUACGGAGGUAAUGGUUA